rnacentral:rRNA from 1 species
GCCGGACCUGACUGCUAUCGGAUUGAUACUAAGCCAUGCGAGUCAUUGUAGCAAUACAAGGCAUACGGCUCAGUAACGCGUAGUCAACCUAACCUAUGGACGGGAAUAACCUCGGGAAACUGAGAAUAAUGCCCGAUAGAACACUAUACCUGGAAUGGUUUGUGUUCCAAAUGAUUUAUCGCCAUAGGAUGGGACUGCGGCCUAUCAGUUUGUUGGUGAGGUAAUGGCCCACCAAGACUAUUACAGGUACGGGCUCUGAGAGGAGUAGCCCGGAGAUGGGUACUGAGACACGGACCCAGGCCCUAUGGGGCGCAGCAGGCGAGAAAACUUUGCAAUGUGCGAAAGCACGACAAGGUUAAUCCGAGUGAUUUGUGCUAAACGAAUCUUUUGUUAGUCCUAGAAACACUAACGAAUAAGGGGUGGGCAAGUUCUGGUGUCAGCCGCCGCGGUAAUACCGGCAGCUCGAGUGGUCGUCGCUUUUAUUGGGCCUAAAACGUCCGUAGCCGGUUUGGUAAAUCUGUGGGUAAAUCAACUAGCUUAACUAGUUGAAUUCUGCAGAGACUGCCAGACUAGGAACCGGGAGAGGUGUGGGGUACUCAAGGGGUAGGGGUAAAAUCCUGUCAUCCUUUGAGGACCACCAGUUGCGAAGGCGCCACACUGGAACGGAUUCGACGGUCAGGGACGAAGCCUAGGGGCACGAACCGGAUUAGAUACCCGGGUAGUCCUAGGUGUAAACGCUGUGAACUUGGUGUCGGGAGUCCGCAAUGGGCCCCCGGUGCCGGAGUGAAGAUGUUAAGUUCACUGCCUGGGGAGUACGGUCGCAAGGCUGAAACUUAAAGGAAUUGGCGGGGGAGCACUGCAACGCGAGGAGCGUGCGGUUUAAUUGGAUUCAACGCCGGAAAACUCACCAUGGCCGACUGUUAGAUGAAGAUCAGCGUAAUGAGCUUAUCGGAUUUUCAGAGAGGUGGUGCAUGGCCGUCGUCAGUUCGUACUGUAAAGCGUUCUGUUAAGUCAGAUAACGAACGAGACCCUCAUCUCUAUUUGCUACCCUUCUCUCCGGAGGAGGCGCACUAUAGGGAGACCGCUGGUGCUAAACCAGAGGAAGGCGAGGGCAACGACAGGUCAGUAUGCCCCGAAUGUCAUGGGCUACACGCGCGCUACAAAGGACGGGACAAUGGGAAGCCAGAUCGAGAGAUCGAGCUAACCCGAAACCCGUUCAUAGUUCGGAUUGUGGGCUGUAACUCGCCCACAUGAAGCUGGAUUGCGUAGUAAUCGUGUUUCAACAUAGCACGGUGAAUAUGCCCCUGCUCCUUGCACUCACC